UACAGAGACCUCAAGCGUUAUCCGGAAUCAUUGGGCGUAAAGCGUGCCGAUAGGUGGUUUUAUUAGUCUUUGGUAAAAGCCAGAAGCUCAACUUCUGAGUUUGCUUAAGAUACUGUAAAACUAGAGGGGCAAAGAGGUGCUUGGAACGAAUGGUGUAGUAGUGAAAUGCGUUGAUAUCAUUCGGAACACCGAAAGCGAAGGCAGAGCACUGGGUGCCACCUGACACUGCUAGGACGAAAGCGUGGGGAGCGAAUGGG
rnacentral:rRNA from 1 species